AUGCCAUCCAAGUAUGGGCUCCUCCUAACUGGUGUGAGCUGAGCUCUGCCUAUGAUAAUGGCCGAGUUGGAGCUCACACCAGUGGAGGACUCCAUACAAACUGGAAUGGACGGGCCUUCCUUAUAUUCUAACCUUAUUUUCAAGCUUAUCAUGAUGGAAGAGUGAGUGCAAAGGAGAGUGGCUCUGUAAUUACAGAGUGGAGUGGCCUAAUUGUAUUGGCGAUGUUGUAUUGUAUUUUUAUUAACUGAGAAUAUGUGUGGACUCUAUUAUAGAUGGGGAUAGGAUUAAAGAGCUGCAGGAUUUUUACAGAGCAGCCUUGUUCAGCAACGGGAUGAGAUUCAACAGAGCUACCUGUUGGGCCUGGCAUACAAAAAAGAAGAAGAAAUAUGUAAAUAUGGGCUGGAUUAUUUUCUGUAAAACUUUGUUCAAGCAGAUUGUUAGAUCUUUCUUAGUAUGUCGCUUAAAAGACAGCCCUGUCUAGUGUUUGUCUACUAUAGGAUUUUGACAGAGCAGCCUUGUUCGGCCGGGGAAGGAGAUUCGGGCCUGGCAAACAAAAAAGAAGCAGAAAUAUGUAAAUAUGGGCAGAUUGUUAUGUCUCUCUUUGUAUGUGGAAUCUCAUGACAGUCCUGGCCUAUGUCUUUGUCUAGUUUAUUUUGUUUUAGGUUUUGUUUUCAUCUUUUAAUAUAAUCUGCUAGGACGUUGCUUCA